AUUGAACGCUGGCGGCAGGCCUAACACAUGCAAGUCGAGCGCGAAAGGUCUUCGGACUGAGUAGAGCGGCGGACGGGUGAGUAACGCGUGGGAAUCUACCCAGUAGCGGGGGAUAACAUGGAGAAAUUCAUGCUAAUACCGCAUACGCCCUACGGGGGAAAGGAGGGGAUCUUCGGACCUUUCACUAUUGGAGGAGCCCGCGUGAGAUUAGAUAGUUGGUGGGGUAAUGGCCUACCAAGUCGACGAUCUCUAGCUGGUCUGAGAGGAUGAUCAGCCACACUGGAACUGAGACACGGUCCAGACUCCUACGGGAGGCAGCAGUGGGGAAUAUUGCACAAUGGGCGAAAGCCUGAUGCAGCCAUGCCGCGUGUGAAGAAGGCCCUAGGGUUGUAAAGCACUUUCAAUUGGGAGGAAAGGUUGUAAGUCAAUACCUUGCAACUGUGACGUUACCUUUAGAAGAAGCACCGGCAAACUCCGUGCCAGCAGCCGCGGUAAUACGGAGGGUGCGAGCGUUAAUCGGAAUUACUGGGCGUAAAGCGCGCGUAGGCGGAUAAUUAAGUCAGCUGUGAAAGCCCCGGGCUCAACCUGGGAACUGCAGUUGAUACUGGUUAUCUAGAGUACAGUAGAGGGUGGUGGAAUUUCCUGUGUAGCGGUGAAAUGCGUAGAUAUGGGAAGGAACAUCAGUGGCGAAGGCGGCCACCUGGACUGAUACUGACGCUGAGGUGCGAAAGCGUGGGGAGCGAACAGGAUUAGAUACCCUGGUAGUCCACGCCGUAAACGAUGUCAACUAGCCGUUGGGGGACUUGAUCCUUUAGUGGCGCAGCUAACGCAAUAAGUUGACCGCCUGGGGAGUACGGCCGCAAGGUUAAAACUCAAAUGAAUUGACGGGGGCCCGCACAAGCGGUGGAGCAUGUGGUUUAAUUCGAUGCAACGCGAAGAACCUUACCAGGCCUUGACAUCCUUGGAAUCUUUGAGAGAUCAGAGAGUGCCUUCGGGAAUCAAGUGACAGGUGCUGCAUGGCUGUCGU
rnacentral:rRNA from 1 species